rnacentral:lncRNA from 1 species
CAGCCUCCACCUGGUUUCUUGGAACACAUUUUCUUGGAGAAGCCAGACAACUUGGUAAAAUUCUGACUACCCUGAGACCACCAUGCUGUGAAGAAGUCCAAGCUGGCUGCAUGGGGAGAGAUGCCCAGUCAGUCACCAGCUGCUCCAGGCAUCCACCUGAAGCACCAGACAUGAGAGUGAAAAAGCAGAUUUGACUGAGGAGUGUUAGUGAAUGCUUACCAAAUUGCCUCAGCAUCAGAGUCAGCCACAAAGUUUAAAAUCUGCGGGAAAUCUCAAGACCAGGGGAGAGGGUCCCCAGAGGACCCCAGUGUGCAGCCCACUGUGGGAACCAUGGACUUGGCCAUACGAAGGCUUGUAGGAAAGUCAUACCUCCCGAGCCAGAAAGCCAAGUGUUUUAGACCGUGGACUCACAGCCCUGUCUCACAGCUACCACCUGUGCCUGGGAAAAGCUGCCUUCUCAUCCCACACACUACCUCGUCAGGUCCACUGGCCAUAUGGUGGAUGCAGGACCAUCCCCGUAGUACCAUCUUGUCAGCACCAGCUUACCAUAUAAUAGCCAAGUGGCCACCAGUAGCUCCACUUAUAUCUCCACUAUCAACAAUCCAAGGAAAAUUCAGUGCCGAGAAGCAGUGGCCAAAGAAAAGAGGAAAGAGACAGGUGUACUUUGCAGUUUAUCAAGGCAGCUGCAUCAUCACCACAUUCAUUACAAAACUGUAAAAGAGCAUGGAAAUGUGUUCAUACGAUGUACUCGCAUGAGAGGACAUAGAAGAGCUUAACGACAACAUGCCAGCAUGACAGAAAACAAGUUCUUUUAAUGCCAGCUGCUGUACUUGGAGUGGAGUAGGCCCACGAGAGUGUGUGAUGAGACACGAGAAAUAAUCAUGACAAAGAAGGAAUUGAAAUUCUUCUCUCCUGUUCAAAUGGUAGAAAGGUUUUAGUUGGCUGCCUAGUAGCCAGCAUUCUUCUGACAUUCCAGGUUUAUAAAUAAUAAGAGUGACAUUAUUAUACCAAUAAUUAUUAAAAUAUUAAGAACCAUAAAAUUACCAGUUAAUACUGGUGAUAGUGAUGAUUAUUGAGUACAUACAGGGGCCAGGCCCUGUUCUAGGUGCAUCAACUGGUUUACUCCUCAGGAAUCAUGUGGUGAAUUCCUGCCUCCAUCCUCCUGCUCCAGCAGCACAUGUGGCACAGGAUCACUCCUUCCUCCUUACCAAGCACUUUCUUCUGAGACAGUGCUCUGUCUCGGCCACUCCUUCUAAGUUGCCUUGAUUGGCUCCUCCCCUUCCUAAUUUUCUACACACCAUGGCUCUUCUUUCUCAUCACUUCUGAGAUGCACUCAGCCAGUCCCAGGGCUUUAUGCACAGUGUGUAAACUGACAACUGCUGAAUUCUUACCUCCAGCCCAGAGCUCUCCCUGCUUGGAUUCCAGCAGGCACUUCAGACCAAGCACGGCAAACUGAACCUGUCAGUUCUCUCUAAACCUGCUCCUCCCCAGUAUUCCAGUAUUCCCCAGCUCACCUCACAACACCUCAUCCUUCCAGAUGCCAGGCGGAAGCUUUUGUAAGUGGUCAUCUUUGCCCACUCAGCUCCCUCUGUCUCUGUCUCUGUCUGUCUGUCUGUCUGUCUGUCUCUCUCUCUCACACAUACACACACACAUCCUAGCAGUAAAUCCAGUGGGUUUGACCUUAAUUUUACCACUUCUCCCACCUCCAUUGUCAGCA